GCAACUCCGACAAUCCUUUCGACAUUAACAAGCUAGACUCAAUCGAGAACAACCUGAACCACUACUGGAGCAACAUCAAGUGUCCUCGCACCGACGGCGUGAACUCAUGGAAGAGCGAGUGGAACAGCUAUGGCGUCUGCUCCGGCCUCAAGGAGUUGGACUACUUCAAGGCCGGUCUCCAGCUCAGAAAGAACGCAGAUGUUCUCUCUGCUCUCGCUGAACAAGGCAUCAAGCCGGACUACCAACUGUACAACACGGCGUUCAUCAAGUGGGCAGUGAACCAGAAGCUGGGUGUGACACCAGGAGUGCAGUGCAGGG
rnacentral:misc_RNA from 1 species